rnacentral:tRNA from 4 species
GGGGCCGUAGCUCAGUUGGGAGAGCGCAGCGUUCGCAACGCUGAGGUCAGGGGUUCGAUUCCCCUCGGCUCCA